UACGAAGGGGGCUAGCGUUGCUCGGAAUCACUGGGCGUAAAGCGCACGUAGGCGGAUCCUUAAGUCAGGGGUGAAAUCCUGGAGCUCAACUCCAGAACUGCCUUUGAUACUGAAGAUCUUGAGUUCGGGAGAGGUGAGUGGAACUGCGAGUGUAGAGGUGAAAUUCGUAGAUAUUCGCAAGAACACCAGUGGCGAAGGCGGCUCACUGGCCCGAUACUGACGCUGAGGCACGAAAGCGUGGGGAGCAAACAGG
rnacentral:rRNA from 1 species